rnacentral:rRNA from 1 species
UCGAGCGCACCCUUCGGGGCGAGCGGCGGACGGGUUAGUAACGCGUGGGAACGUACCCUUUUCUAAGGAAUAGCCUCGGGAAACUGAGAGUAAUACCUUAUAAGCCCUUCGGGGGAAAGAUUUAUCGGGAAAGGAUCGGCCCGCGUUAGAUUAGAUAGUUGGUGGGGUAACGGCCUACCAAGUCUACGAUCUAUAGCUGGUUUUAGAGGAUGAUCAGCAACACUGGGACUGAGACACGGCCCAGACUCCUACGGGAGGCAGCAGUGGGGAAUCUUGGACAAUGGGCGCAAGCCUGAUCCAGCCAUGCCGCGUGUGUGAUGAAGGCCUUAGGGUCGUAAAGCACUUUCGCCAGAGAUGAUAAUGACAGUAUCUGGUAAAGAAACCCCGGCUAACUCCGUGCCAGCAGCCGCGGUAAUACGGAGGGGGUUAGCGUUGUUCGGAAUUACUGGGCGUAAAGCGUACGUAGGCGGACCAUUAAGUUGGGGGUGAAAUCCCGGGGCUCAACCCCGGAACUGCCUCCAAAACUGCUGGUCUUGAGUUCGAGAGAGGUGAGUGGAAUUCCGAGUGUAGAGGUGAAAUUCGUAGAUAUUCGGAGGAACACCAGUGGCGAAGGCGGCUCACUGGCUCGAUACUGACGCUGAGGUACGAAAGUGUGGGGAGCAAACAGGAUUAGA